GGCAUGGUGGUUUAGUGGUUAGUGCGUUUGCCUCGCACCUCUGGUGGUGGGUGUUCAAACCCCGCCUCUGUCC